rnacentral:rRNA from 1 species
UACGUAGGGGGCAAGCGUUAUCCGGAUUUACUGGGUGUAAAGGGGGCGCAGACGGCAGCGCAAGCCAGGAGUGAAAGCCCGGGGCCCAACCCCGGGACUGCUCUUGGAACUGCGCGGCUGGAGUGCAGGAGGGGCAGGCGGAAUUCCUGGUGUAGCGGUGAAAUGCGUAGAUAUCAGGAGGAACACCGGUGGCGAAGGCGGCCUGCUGACUGCGACUGACGUUGAGGCCCGAAAGCGUGGGGAGCAAACAGG